rnacentral:miRNA from 1 species
CCCGACCCAGUUUUCAUACAUGC